CCGCGUCAGUGGACGGUGCCACACCUCGUCUGAUGAGCGAGCCCUUCGGAGUUCAACUCUCCGGGCGCGGAC
rnacentral:tRNA from 1 species